rnacentral:lncRNA from 1 species
UUGUAGCACUUAUCAGUCCUUUGUUCCUUUUUAAGGCCAAAUAGUAUUCCAUCAUAUAUAUAUAUAUAUAUACAGGUUGAGUAUCCUGUAUCUGAAAAAAUGUCUAUUUCAAGUCCUUGGUCCAUUUUUUAAUUGGGUUGUCUUUCUGUUGAGUUUUAUAAGAGUUCUUUGUAUAUGGCUAGUUUUGCUGCAGAUGCUACCCGUGGCUACACAGAAUACUGUAAUUUAACUUUUCAACAUUUUAAAAAUCUUUUCUCCCCAGCCAGACUAUAAACUCCUUUGAAGGGCAAAGAAUAUCAAUGUAUUUUGAUUUCUUUCAUUGCCUGGACCUUAGAAAGCUCUCAGUGAUCUUUCUGUUCAUUUGAUAUGUCAAUAUUUUCCUAUUUCUCAAACAUGUCAAUAACUGAAUGUAGUGUAUCAAACUACUUUACAACAGGCAUUUGACAAAUGAUCAUAAUGACUGGAAUGUGGAUGAAACAGUACAUAGGCUUGUAGAUGGUCACUG